UGUCCAAGGAGGUCAUAUAAAGGUGUUUGAAGCAUGACAAGGUAAGGUUGGUUUUGAAGCCUUAUUGUGUAUCUGUUUUUGUAGAGCUUUUACUGUUACCGGCUUUGCAUGAUGGCAUAACCAGGGCAUUGAGCUUGGGAGCCAUGAGCUGCUGUUGGAAUAUCAUCUUGGAACAGCUUUUUGCUGAACCAUGAACCAAAAAUAGCCAUUGCAUUUUGAGAUUUAAGGAUGCUUAAAGAUUAGCGGGGCUUCAAUUUUGUUCCAGCAAAAGGAGAUCAAUUUCAUUAAAGCAUUUCAACAACAAUAAACCAAAGGUGCAGAGCCACUUGGGAGACAGACCAUGAUUGUGCAAUUAAAUAUAUACAUACAUAUUAUCUAUAUAUGGUGUUAUGUGGGUCAACCACCAAUCCCAAAGACCUAGCCUUCAGUUACCUUUAGUUCCGUACGAAUGCGACAGUAGCAACAUGUGCUCCCAGAGAUCCGCCGAACAUGAAUGUCGGAUAAGUUUGAACAUGGUUCAGAUAUUGGUACGGGGGGCAAUCUCUGUGUGUUUCUCGGUCCUUGAUUGUAUUUGGGUCUUGGGGCAGCAUUCCAGCAUUUCUAUGAUUGAAAUUUUCCACCUCUUGUACCAAUUCAUCUUUUGUAU